GAUGAACGCUGGCGGCGUGCCUAAUACAUGCAAGUCGAGCGAACAGACGAGGAGCUUGCUCCUCUGACGUUAGCGGCGGACGGGUGAGUAACACGUGGAUAACCUACCUAUAAGACUGGGAUAACUUCGGGAAACCGGAGCUAAUACCGGAUAAUAUAUUGAACCGCAUGGUUCAAUAGUGAAAGACGGUUUUGCUGUCACUUAUAGAUGGAUCCGCGCCGCAUUAGCUAGUUGGUAAGGUAACGGCUUACCAAGGCAACGAUGCGUAGCCGACCUGAGAGGGUGAUCGGCCACACUGGAACGGAGACACGGUCCAGACUCCUACGGGAGGCAGCAGUAGGGAAUCUUCCGCAAUGGGCGAAAGCCUGACGGAGCAACGCCGCGUGAGUGAUGAAGGUCUUCGGAUCGUAAAACUCUGUUAUUAGGGAAGAACAAAUGUGUAAGUAACUAUGCACGUCUUGACGGUACCUAAUCAGAAAGCCACGGCUAACUACGU
rnacentral:rRNA from 1 species